rnacentral:rRNA from 1 species
UCUUCGGAGAGUUUGAUCCUGGCUCAGGAUGAACGCUGGCGGCGUGCCUAAUACAUGCAAGUCGAGCGAACUGAUUAGAAGCUUGCUUC